GACACUUCACCAGUGCAGGUUGGUGACUGGGUGUUUGUGAAGGCCAUAAAAAGGAAGUGUUGGUCCAGCCCACGGUGGGAAGGGCCAUUCCAAGUCCUGCUGACUACACCAACAGCCGUCAAGAUUGCUGAAAGGACGUCUUGGAUCCACCUGUCACACUGCAAGAAAAAGCAUCUGGGAGCCACCACGUGGAUUUGGUUCUUUUGGAAUCGUUAUCCACCUACAAGAAGAACCACCAACGAGGAAAGACUAAAUGUUUCUCGACGAUGGCUGAGUAUUGAUGAACAUGAUGUUUUGAAUAGUCCAAAAAUGAACAUAGCUCACCUGUAUAUGACAAAUUCUUGGUAUAGGUAUGUUAUGUUACUGGCUAAGGAAAUGCAUAGAUCUGAUUGCUAUGUUGUUCUGUAAUUCCAACUUCAUCCCUACAUCCUAAUUUGCAGGCAAAGCAAUUUUCUGAGUGGAAAAGCGACUGUGUUAUUGAAUAUAGUACCAGAGGGUAUAUUAGUACUGGAGCCGUCACCACUUCAAAUGGAACUCUUGUAAGACCGAGUUGUAAGAGUUUGUAUCAGUUUAAAAAACUGAAAUUGACAAAAUCAUUAGCUCCAUAUGUUAGUGUGGAACCAGGAACUGUGUUUCCACAUUGCGUAACUAAAAAUGGCACAGAGUUUUUAGGAACUUUGCCGAUAAAGAUGUGUCAUGAACUUCUUGUUCCCUUCACAGUCCAGAUAAUCAAUGACAGAGUUUCCCAUGGUUAUGCUGUUCCCUGCCCCAGAGGACGUUGUGUUAGAUCUAAUCCAGAUUUAAUUCCAGGUAACAAUGGUACUUAUGUGGUUCAUCAAAUGUUUUGGUUAUGUGGGCAGGCCCUCUACCUCAGUCUGCCUAGAGACUGGAGUGGGAUUUGUGUUUCUGUAAAGGUCACAGGUCACACUUUCAUAGUUUCUGCAGUCCAUGAGCCUCACCUGAGCCACAGACGUAACCUUAUUGAUGUCAAGCCACAUGAUUCCAUUUGGGGAUCACAUGUACCUGAAGACCAUAAACACUGGAAUACUGGGGAAAAGGUAACUAUGGCAUUGUUUCCCUAGGUGGGAAAUGCUAAAAACACUUUCAGAAUUGAGACCAUUGAUUAUCGAUUAGGUUUAUUUUUGAUUAUUUUUGAACGCUACAAUUAAAGCAUUUAAAGGCUAUAAUGAAGAAAUGUCAAGCAUGAGACUUAUGGUUCUACAGAACAGAUUGGUUUUGGACUUAUUGGUUGCUCAGGAGGGAGGUGUUUGUAAAAUGUUAAAUGACACCUGUUGUACAUUUAUUCCUGACAACAUCGAUGAAGGUCACAGCAUCACCGAAGCAUUACAUCAACUUGAAACGGUUCAGCAGGCAAUUCAGGAUGACAGGAAACCCCAAUCUUGGGAUUUCUUCUCCUGGUUUGCUUUUGGUUCCUGGUAGCAACUUUGUUAAAAAUAGUGACACCUAUUCUUAUGGUACUGAUCAUAUGUUGUGUAUUCACUAUGUGCAUUUUUCCUUGUAUUCAAUCUAUGAUUUCCAGAGCAGUGAAUGGUGGAGUACAGAGUGUUCUUCUGAGUCAAGAAUACAACUUGUUAUUGAAGGGAGAACAAGAUGACUGUAAUGAUUUUGAAAUUGAAAUGACUUGAGAAAAAACAAAAAAAACAAAAAAACUUCUCAUCUGAGUGUAAAUUGAAAGUGUUAUGAAAAUGAAGAUGUCACAGAAAACUGAAAAGAGAUGUGAUAUUGGAUGUGAGAUUUUGACAUUUAUCAAUGAUAAACAGGUGGGAGUAUGUGAAGGAA